ACGAACGCUGGCGGCUGCUUAACACAUGCAAGUCGAACGGAGUGGCGAACGGGUGAGUAACGCGUGAGCAACCUGACUAUGACAGUGGGAUAGCCUCGGGAAACCGGGAUUAAUACAGCAUAGUCAUAGAUGGGCUCGCGUCUGAUUAGCUAGUUGGUGAGAUAACAGCCCACCAAGGCGACGAUCAGGAGCCGGUCUGAUAAGAUGAACGGCCACAUGGGAACUGAUACACGGUCCAAACGCCUACGGGAUGCAGCAGUGGGGAAUAUUGCACAAUGGGGGAAACCCUGAUGCAGCGACGCCGCGUGAACGAAGAAGGUAUUCGUAUCGUAAAGUUCUGGCCUAUGGGAAGCAGUGCCAUAGAAGAAAGCUCCGGAUAAAUACGUGCCAGUAGGCGCGGUAAUUC
rnacentral:rRNA from 1 species